rnacentral:tmRNA from 1 species
UUAGGAUUCGACAGGGAUAGAUUGAGCUCAGGUUGCGCGUCGAGGUUACGGCUCGUAAAACGUUACACGCCUAUAAUUGGCAAAAAUAAUCAACCUGCUUUAGCAGCUGCGUAAGUAGUUCUGAAGCGAUCCUUCCUGCAUUUGCCCGUGAUGCAGAUUGAAGGGUCUCAAAUGAAGCGGGCUACACUACUAUUCACCGUCUGCGGAUAGUGGUUGAAACUAAUCAGACUAGCUACAUGGAAGCCUGUUGGUAGGCCGAUAUGCUAGCGAAUUAUUAAUAUACCAACUACACGCGUAGAAGCCUGAGUGGCGAUGUCCUUGGACGUGGGUUCGAUUA